rnacentral:rRNA from 11 species
UGAGACAGCCUAAAUGCCCUAAAGGCACCAGAUUCCUCUGACCUUGGAAGCUAAGCAGGGUCAGCCCUUGUUAGCACUUGAAUGAGAGACCCCUAAUACAGGCCAAGUGCUGUAGGGU